rnacentral:rRNA from 1 species
UACGUAGGGUGCAAGCGUUGUCCGGAAUUAUUGGGCGUAAAGAGCUCGUAGGCGGCUUGUCGCGUCGGCUGUGAAAUCCCGUGGCUCAACUGCGGGCUUGCAGCCGAUACGGGCAGGCUAGAGUUCGGUAGGGGGAGACUGGAAUUCCUGGUGUAGCGGUGAAAUGCGCAGAUAUCAGGAGGAACACCAAUAGCGAAGGCAGCUCGCUGGGACGUUACUGACACUGAGGCGCGAAAGCGUGGGGAGCGAACAGG